rnacentral:rRNA from 1 species
AUUCCUACGGGGGGCAGCAGUGAGGAAUAUUGGUCAAUGGGCGCGAGCCUGAACCAGCCAAGUCGCGUGAGGGAUGACGGUCCUACGGAUUGUAAACCUCUUUUGCCGGGGAGCAAGCGUGCGUUCGUGAACGCACGUCGAGAGUACCCGGAGAAAAAGCAUCGGCUAACUCCGUGCCAGCAGCCGCGGUAAUACGGAGGAUGCGAGCGUUAUCCGGAUUUAUUGGGUUUAAAGGGUGCGUAGGCGGGCUGUUAAGUCAGCGGUCAAAUGUCGGGGCUCAACCCCGGCCUGCCGU